GACUUAGGACCCCAGCCAUCAUCAUCAUCAUCAUCAUCAUAAAGGAAUGGCGCUUUGGAAAAACAAUAAUGAAUUGUUUUUGAUACCGGUACCUCUCCAGGUGGCGUUUUACAUAUAAACAAUACUGAAUGGAGUUGAAAGACUAUGAAGGAGACAUUACAAUCAAUAACAAAUGUAGCGUUUUACUAUACACAAUACUGAAUGGAGUUGCAAGACUACAAAGGAGACUUUACAUUAAUAACAAAUUGAGGUAGACACAGAAUCCACAGGAUUGUCCAGACCCAAUCGUCAAAGGGCAACAGAACUUACCAAUUACUAUAGAUAGCCAAAAAUGUUGACACUCAUCAAGCUUCCUGAAUAAAUUCUGCAUAUGAAAUUAAUUAGAAUAUAGUGUGAAUAUAUAUAUUUUUAAUAUUUUCCUCUGUAAAAUCUCGCAAAUAAUGUUAGCAUUAUGUAUUAAUGCUGUAGGCUUUAUGAUUAAUAAUAUUGUAUUAUUAUUACUAAUGUUUAUCUUAAUAGAGAAAAUAACCCGUUUGUUGCAAGAAUGUAGACAUGUAAGAUAAUAAUAGGCCUACAUAUAAUUUUGAGGAUUAAAAUCAGGUAUAUUAAUUUUUUCCGAAUGUACAUGUAAUAUAUAGAGUAUAUAAUAAAAUGUAUACAUAUAUCCCAACUUGAUUUCAAUCUUGAAAAUAAAUAUAAA